AGCAGCCGCGGUAAUUCCAGCUCCAAUAGCGUAUAUUAAAGUUGUUGCAGUUAAAAAGCUCGUAGUUGAAUUUCAGGCCUGGCUGGACGGUCCGCCCUUCGGGUGAGUACUGUCUGUGGUCAGGUCCUACCUUCUGGCGAAGCGUCAUGGCCUUAACCGGCCGUGGCGGGGAACCAGGACUUUUACUGUGAAAAAUUAGAGUGUUCAAAGCAGGCAAUCGCUUGGAUACAUUAGCAUGGAAUAAUGGAAUAGGACAAUGGUUCUAUUUGUUGGUUUCUAGGACCGUUGUAAUGAUUAAUAGGGAUAGUUGGGGGCAUUAGUAUUCAAUUGUCAGAGGUGAAAUUCUUGGAUUUAUUGAAGACUAACUACUGCGAAAGCAUUUGCCAAGGAUGUUUUCAUUAAUCAAGAACGAAAGUUAGGGGAUCGAAGACGAUCAGAUACCAUCGUAGUCUUAACCAUAAACUAUGCCGACUAGGAAUCGGGCGA
rnacentral:rRNA from 1 species